AAACAUAAAGAAUGAAGAAAAAGGGGAAACUUUUUUGCCCAAGAUUCAUAUCCUCCUUUUUUUUGUUGCUUUCGCUCGCCCAUUCUUCU
rnacentral:ribozyme from 14 species